ACGACAUCGCACUGGUAGAGCUGCCGCAACCUCUGAAUUAUGCGUCCGACGCCAAUAUCCAACCGAUCUGCUUGGGACUGGAAGAGGACAUACCCUUCGGAGGCAAGGCGGUGGCGUCGGGAUGGGGAGCCCUGUCGUUUGGUGGGUCAUCACCUGACGUCCUGCAGGAAGUAGAGUUAGAUAUCAUCACAAUAGACGAGUGUCAGCAGAAGGCUUCUUUACCGCCAGACACAAACUCGGUUGUAUGUGCUCUGACUCUCUAUAAGGAUACCUGUCAGGGUGACAGCGGUGGUCCUCUUGUUGCGAAACUUUGUGACGGCACCUGGGCUCAAAUCGGAAUUGUCAGCUAUGGUUUCCAGUGUGCCGUCCCUGACAAC